UGUCAACCAUGUGAAAAAUCAAAUUAUUUUAUUAUUUUUGAAUAAUAAUAUUAUUAUUAAUAUUAUUUAAUUAUUUCUUUUUCUUUUCCUUUUUCUUUUUCUUUUUCUUUUUCUUUUUCUUUUCUUUUCCCCACGUGGGAAAACACCACCACUUCUUUCUUUUUCUUUUUCUUUUUCUUUUUCUUUUUUUCUUUUUUCCUUUCUUCUUCCCCGAAACACCAAGCACGCAACAGUUAUUUUUCUUCCCUCCGGCCGUCCCUCUCUCUCUCCCGUGUUUUUGAAUUCCGGCCACCUACACAGUACACGCGCCGGCCAGUGACGUGCGGAAGGAGGAGGCGAGCUCGGCCGCCAAGUUUCACGGCCAGCCGCCGCCGGACGCGCGCCGAUCGGGCCGGAGAAGCCGCCGGCCGGCCAAGUUUCUCUCUCCUCUUUUCUUGUGUUUUCCGGCCAGCCCACUCCCAAUUGAGCCUCCUAUCCCCCUAUUUUGGGUCCUCUGAAUCCAAAACUGGCCUCCAAUCCUAGAAAUUCAAAGCGGUUUGCGAGAUAUGCGGAAGUGAACACCGGCCGAAACUUUCCGACCAAAUUCCGGCCACCUCCGGCGGAAUUGGGGUCAACGGAGACCGGAUUGGUGAUCCUCGUUCCACGAGCUUCGAUUCGGAGCACCGGUGAGUCGUAGAAUUGAUCCCGUAGUGGAUCGUGGGUUAAUUGCGUGCUCCAGGUCCAGGUUGGAGACGUUGAUUGUCCGGGGCGAGCCCAACGUCUCAGUUCGUUGCCGAAGGUUCAAGCAGUUUUUCUUCCCUUUUUCCUCUCUAUCUUGUAUUACAUUCUUAUCUAUUAUUUUUAUAAAUUCCACAUUUGUUGUAUAAUGCUCUGUAUACUGUAUUGGACGUGUGGUUGUUCUUUAUGCACUGGG